rnacentral:rRNA from 1 species
CCUACGGGUGGCAGCAGUGAGGAAUAUUGGUCAAUGGCCGUAAGGCUGAACCAGCCAAGUAGCGUGAGGGAAGACUGCCCUAUGGGUUGUAAACCUCUUUUAUGCGGGGAUAAAGGUGUCCACGUGUGGAUGUUUGCAGGUACCGCAUGAAUAAGGACCGGCUAAUUCCGUGCCAGCAGCCGCGGUAAUACGGAAGGUCCGGGCGUUAUCCGGAUUUAUUGGGUUUAAAGGGAGCGUAGGCCGGUCUUUAAGCGUGUCGUGAAAGUUUGCGGCUCAACCAUGAAAGUGCGGCGCGAACUGGAGGCCUUGAGUGCGCGUAAGGCAGGCGGAAUUCGUGGUGUAGCGGUGAAAUGCUUAGAUAUCACGAAGAACCCCGAUUGCGAAGGCAGCCUGCCGAAGCGUUACUGACGCUGAAGCUCGAAAGUGCGGGUAUCGAACAGGAUUAGAUACCCUGGUAGUC